AAGGUUUGCUGGAGGUAUCAGAAGUGCGAAUGCUGACAUGAGUAACGACAAAGGGGGUGAAAAACCUCCUCGCCGGAAGACCAAGGGUUCCUGUCCAACGUUAAUCGGGGCAGGGUGAGUCGACCCCUAAGGUGAGGCCGAAAGGCGUAAUCGAUGGGAAACGGGUUAAUAUUCCCGUACUUCUGACUAUUGCGAUGGGGGGACGGAGAAGGCUAGGUGGGCCAGGCGACGGUUGUCCUGGUUCAAGUGCGUAGGCUUGAGAGUUAGGUAAAUCCGGCUCUCUCUAAGGCUGAGACACGACGUCGAGCUACUACGGUAGUGAAGUCAUUGAUGCCAUGCUUCCAGGAAAAGCCUCUAAGCUUCAGAUAGUCAGGAAUCGUACCCCAAACCGACACAGGUGGUCGGGUAGAGAAUACCAAGGCGCUUGAGAGAACUCGGGUGAAGGAACUAGGCAAAAUGGUACCGUAACUUCGGGAGAAGGUACGCUCUUGAUGGUGAAGUCCCUCGCGGAUGGAGCUGACGAGAGUCGCAGAUACCAGGUGGCUGCAACUGUUUAUUAAAAACACAGCACUGUGCAAAAUCGCAAGAUGACGUAUACGGUGUGACGCCUGCCCGGUGCCGGAAGGUUAAUUGAUGGGGUUAGCGCAAGCGAAGCUCUUGAUCGAAGCCCCGGUAAACGGCGGCCGUAACUAUAACGGUCCUAAGGUAGCGAAAUUCCUUGUCGGGUAAGUUCCGACCUGCACGAAUGGCGUAAUGAUGGCCACGCUGUCUCCACCCGAGACUCAGUGAAAUUGAAAUCGCUGUGAAGAUGCAGUGUACCCGCGGCUAGACGGAAAGACCCCGUGAACCUUUACUACAGCUUGGCACUGAACAUUGAACCUACAUGUGUAGGAUAGGUGGGAGGCUAUGAAGACGUGACGCCAGUUGCGUUGGAGCCGUCCUUGAAAUACCACCCUUGUAUGUUUGAUGUUCUAACUUAGACCCAUUAUCUGGGUUGAGGACAGUGCCUGGUGGGUAGUUUGACUGGGGCGGUCUCCUCCCAAAGAGUAACGGAGGAGCACGAAGGUGGGCUAAUCACGGUUGGACAUCGUGAGGUUAGUGCAAUGGCAUAAGCCCGCUUAACUGCGAGAAUGACGGUUCGAGCAGGUGCGAAAGCAGGUCAUAGUGAUCCGGUGGUUCUGUAUGGAAGGGCCAUCGCUCAACGGAUAAAAGGUACUCCGGGGAUAACAGGCUGAUACCGCCCAAGAGUUCAUAUCGACGGCGGUGUUUGGCACCUCGAUGUCGGCUCAUCACAUCCUGGGGCUGAAGUCGGUCCCAAGGGUAUGGCUGUUCGCCAUUUAAAGUGGUACGCGAGCUGGGUUUAGAACGUCGUGAGACAGUUCGGUCCCUAUCUGCCGUGGGCGUUGGAAGAUUGAAGGGGGCUGCUCCUAGUACGAGAGGACCGGAGUGGACGAACCUCUGGUGUUCGGGUUGUGUCGCCAGACGCAUUGCCCGGUAGCUAAGUUCGGAAUUGAUAAGCGCUGAAAGCAUCUAAGCGCGAAGCGAGCCCUGAGAUGAGUCUUCCCUGACAGUUUAACUGUCCUAAAGGGUUGUUCGAGACUAGAACGUUGAUAGGCAGGGUGUGUAAGCGUUGUGAGGCGUUGAGCUAACCUGUACUAAUUGCCCGUGAGGCUUAACC
rnacentral:rRNA from 1 species